AGCUGGGUCUAGUGGUUUAAGCAUUGGACUAAGACUCUGAAGACUAGGGUUCGAAUCCCAGUUCAGCCA